CUUUUGUCCCACAUAAAGACAUUCACAGAUGUCUCUCCACGCGAAGAGCCAUCUCCCCCGUUAUGACAGCACAGCACAGCCUGUCUCUGUGACAACCACCGAGUCGCGGUAACAGAGACAGAGACAGAGAUAGACAGAGAGAGGGAGGGAGGGAGGGACAGAUAUAGAGAGGAGGAGAAGGACUACCACGGAGCAAAACACAUCGCCGUCUCUCUCUGACAUCCCCCUCGUUCGCAUGUGUUUGUGUGUGAGCCUGCACGGAGGAGAGAAGGAAAGAAAAUUAAGCCAGAGAAAUUCUUCUUCUGUCUUUUAGUUUCCCUCUUUUCUCCAUCCAUCAUCCAAGGCUUGAAUACCGGUGUCAGCUGCCACAGCGGGAUAAAAUAAAGGGAUGCUUUGAAUGCUGCCUCUGUCUAUGACAAGGCACACAGAGAAGCAGAAAGAGGCACAACAAGCAGGGACAAAAGCAGGACUUUGAUAAUGAAUGGGAGUCCUUCCGUAGCAUGUGGUAGGAAUAGCAGUCCGUCACUGAAGUCUACGAAUAAGGUGCCUGCCCUUACGACGUGACAGUGUACAUGGUCUGGAUACCACCAGCCGUCCUGCAAGCCCUGCUACACUCCAAAGCCAAAGUUCCACUCUUCUUCAUCACCAGCCACAGCGCCCAGCUCUCCAAGUUUGUCCAAUUAAGGGAUGUAUGAGGACUUAAGAGGCCAGGGUUACUAGCAGACCACACUAGAAAAAAACUGACGAGAUCCUUGCUGGCUGCAGACGGGCAGAACACUGUUGAUUGUCUCCGGGUGGUGUUUCCUGGGUGUGUGAGGAGGAGGCAUGGCUGGUUGAGAUGUCGUGGACGAUCACACCACUCUGCUAGACGUGCUGCUGCUGCGCUGUGUGGGCCUGGCUCCUCCAGCUGCACCAUUGAUGGUGCCGUGAUCCAGUUCUAACCGUGGGUAAUGACGAGACAUAAAACCAAUCCUGGAGAUGCCGAAGAGAGAACAUUCUU